rnacentral:rRNA from 1 species
UACGAAGGGGGCUAGCGUUGUUCGGAAUUACUGGGCGUAAAGCGUAUGCAGGCGGAUCUCUAAGUCGGGGGUGAAAUCCUGAGGCUCAACCUCAGAACUGCCUUCGAUACUGGAGAUCUUGAGUCCGGGAGAGGUUAGUGGAACUGCGAGUGUAGAGGUGAAAUUCGUAGAUAUUCGCAAGAACACCAGUGGCGAAGGCGGCUAACUGGCCCGGUACUGACGCUGAGAUACGAAAGCGUGGGGAGCAAACAGG